rnacentral:tRNA from 1 species
GGAAGUAUGCCCGAAAGAUAGGGACCUCAUUGAUAGAGAGGACCAUAGAGGUUCAAACCCUCUUUCUUCCU